rnacentral:rRNA from 1 species
AGUCUGGUGCCAGCAGCCGCGGUAAUUCCAGCUCCAAUAGGAUAUAUCAAAGUUGUUGCAGUUGAAAAGCUCGUAGUCGUAUUUCUGGUGGGUCGAUGCUCUGGUGCUUGCGUGGCGAAAGCCUGCGCGACUCGCGGAGCCGCCUGCCAUUUUGUGGGUCCAAGUGGCUGGUUUUGUGGUUCACUCCACGAGCCAGUCGCUCCACUCCGUCACUGAGAGCAAAUUGGAGUGCUCAAAGCAGGCUUUACAGCUUUGAACAUUUUAGCUUGGAAUGACAAAGUAUGACUUUUUGUUCACUUUGUUGGUUAUGAAUGAGAAGUAAUGAUAAAUAGGAACAGUUGCGGGGGUACUCGUACUGGAAAGUCAGAGGUGAAAUUCUUAGAUUUUUCCACGACGAACGACUGCGAAAGCAUUUACCAAGGAUGUUUUCAUUGAUCAAGAACGAAAGUGCGAGGAUCGAAGAUGAUUAGAUACCAUCGUAGUUCGCACAGUAAACGAUGCCGACUCGGGAUUGAGUUCACUUCGCUUUUUUCAGAAGGAUCUCAGCACCGUAUGUGAAAACAAAGUCUUUGGGUUCCGGGGGGAGUAUGGUCGCAAGGUUGAAACUUAAAGGAAUUGACGGAAGGGCACACCAGAGGUGGAGCCUGCGGUUUAAUUUGACCCAACACGGGGAAACUCACCAGGUCCAGACAUGAGAAGGAUUGACAGUUUGAAAGCACUUUCUUGAUUUCAUGGGUGGUGGUGCAUGGCCGUUCUUAGUUGGUGGAGUGAUUUGUCUGGUUGAUUCCGAUAACGAACGAGACUCUCAGGGUAAACUGGUUUAGCUCGUAAUUCGCGUUACCUGCGACCUCUUUUCCCGACAAUUCGUUUAAAACGAAAGGAAGCGGAGAGCAAUAACAGGUCUGUGAUGCCCCUCGAUGUUCUGGGCCACACGCGCGCUACAAUGACGAGUUCAACGAGUUUUUUUCUCCUUGCCCGGAAGGGUGUGGGUAAUCUUUUCAAUGCUCGUCGUGAUGGGGCUAGAUUUUUGCAAUUAUUAAUCUUCAACGAGGAAUCUCUAGUAUGUGCAGUUCAUCAGACUGCGCAGAAUGCGUCCCUGCCCUUUGUACACACCGCCCGUCGCACCUACCGAUUGGACGAUCCGGCAAGAUGUUUGGAGUUGCGCUGGUGGGGUUUCGGCUCUACCGAUGCGACGAAGCUCAUCAAACCUUACCGUCUAGAGGAAGGUGAAGUCGUAACAAGGU